CGUGCUGUGGCUAAGUUGGUUAAACCUCCUGUCUUAUGAACAGGAGAUCCUGAGUUUGACUCUCAAAAGUACCU
rnacentral:tRNA from 1 species